CAGCAGCCACGGUAAUACGUAGGGUGCGAGCGUUAAUCGGAAUUACUGGGCGUAAAGCGUGCGCAGGCGGUUUGUUAAGACAGAUGUGAAAUCCCCGGGCUUAACCUGGGAACUGCAUUUGUGACUGGCCGGCUAGAGUAUGGCAGAGGGAGGUGGAAUUCCACGUGUAGCAGAGAAAUGCGUAGAUAUGUGGAGGAACACCGAUGGCGAAGGCAGCCUCCUGGGCCAAUACUGACGCUCAUGCACGAAAGCGUGGGGAGCAAACAGGAUUAGAUACCCCCGUAGUCCCUGUCUCUUAUAC
rnacentral:rRNA from 1 species